rnacentral:rRNA from 1 species
CCUACGGGAGGCAGCAGUGGGGGAUAUUGCACAAUGGGGGGAACCCUGAUGCAGCGACGCCGCGUGGGUGAAGAAGCGCCUCGGCGCGUAAAGCCCUGUCAGCAGGGAAGAAAAUGACGGUACCUGAAGAAGAAGCCCCGGCUAACUACGUGCCAGCAGCCGCGGUAAUACGUAGGGGGCAAGCGUUAUCCGGAUGUACUGGGUGGAAAGGGGGCGCAGACGGCGAUGCAAGCCAGGUGUGAAAGCCCGGGGCCCAACCCCGGGACUGCUCUUGGAACUGCGUGGCUGGAGUGCAGGAGGGGCAGGCGGAAUUCCUGGUGUAGCGGUGAAAUGCGUAGAUAUCAGGAGGAACACCGGUGGCGAAGGCGGCCUGCUGGACUGCAACUGACGUUGAGGCCCGAAAGCGUGGGGAGCAAACAGGAUUAGAUACCCCUGUAGUC